GUGUCAGCCGCCGCGGUAAUACCGGCAGCACGAGUGAUGGCCGAUAUUAUUGGGCCUAAAGCGUCCGUAGCCGGCCAGACAAGUCCGUUGGGAAAUCGGCGUGCCUAACACGUCGGCGUCCAGCGGAAACUGUUUGGCUUGGGGCCAGAAGAUCCGAGGGGUACGUCCGGGGUAGGAGUGAAAUCCCGUAAUCCUGGACGGACCACCGGUGGCGAAAGCGCCUCGGAAAGAUGGACCCGACGGUGAGGGACGAAAGCUGGGGUCUCGAACCGGAUUAGAAACCCCCGUAGUCC
rnacentral:rRNA from 1 species